rnacentral:rRNA from 1 species
CUGCGGAAGGAUCAUUACCGAGUGCGGGCCCUCUGGGUCCAACCUCCCAUCCGUGUCUAUCUGUACCCUGUUGCUUCGGCGUGGCCACGGCCCGCCGAAGACUAACAUUUGAACACUGUCUGAAGUUUGCAGUCUGAGUUUUUAGUUAAACAAUAAUUAAAACUUUCAACAACGGAUCUCUUGGUUCCGGCAUCGAUGAAGAACGCAGCGAAAUGCGAUAAUUAAUGUGAAUUGCAGAAUUCAGUGAAUCAUCGAGUCUUUGAACGCACAUUGCGCCCCCUGGUAUUCCGGGGGGCAUGCCUGUCCGAGCGUCAUUGCUGCCCUCAAGCACGGCUUGUGUGUUGGGCUUCCGUCCCUGGUAACGGGGACGGGCCCAAAAGGCAGUGGCGGCACCAUGUCUGGUCCUCGAGCGUAUGGGGCUUUGUCACCCGCUCCCGUAGGUCCAGCUGGCAGCUAGCCUCGCAACCAAUCUUUUUAACCAGGUUGACCUCGGAUCAGGUAGGGAUACCCGCUGAACUUAA